rnacentral:rRNA from 1 species
UACGUAGGGUGCGAGCGUUGUCCGGAAUUAUUGGGCGUAAAGGGCUCGUAGGCGGUGUGUCACGUCGGCCGUGAAAACCUGCAGCUUAACUGUGGGCGUGCGGUCGAUACGGGCAUCACUGGAGUUCGGCAGGGGAGACUGGAAUUCCUGGUGUAGCGGUGAAAUGCGCAGAUAUCAGGAGGAACACCGGUGGCGAAGGCGGGUCUCUGGGCCGAUACUGACGCUGAUGCGCGAAAGCCAGGGGAGCGAACGGG